rnacentral:rRNA from 1 species
UGUCAUGCCAAUGGCACUGCCCGGUAGCUAAAUGCGGAAGAGAUAAGUGCUGAAAGCAUCUAAGCACGAAACUUGCCCCGAGAUGAGUUCUCCCUGACUCCCUGAGAGUCCUGAAGGAACGUUGAAGACGACGACGUUGAUAGGCCGGGUGUGUAAGCGCAGCGAUGCGUUGAGCUAACCGGUACUAAUGAACCGUGAGGCUUAACCUU